AGCAGCCGCGGUAAUUCCAGCUCCAAUAGCGUAUAUUAAAGUUGUUGCAGUUAAAAAGCUCGUAGUUGAAUUUCGGGGUUCUACCGUUGGUCGGGCUAUUGUCUGUACUGGCGUGUAGAAUUUCUACCUUCUGGGGAACUAUCAUGUUAUUAAUUUAGCGUGGUAGGAAACCAGGACCUUUACCUUGAAAAAAUUAGAGUGUUCAAAGCAGGCUUAUGUCUGAAUACAUUAGCAUGGAAUAAUAAAAUAGGACGGUGGUCCUGUUUUGUUGGUUUCUGAAUCACCGUAAUGAUUAAUAGGGAUAGUUGGGGGCAUUAGUAUUCAAUUGUCAGAGGUGAAAUUCUUGGAUUUAUUGAAGACUAACUACUGCGAAAGCAUUUGCCAAGGAUGUUUUCAUUAAUCAAGAACGAAAGUUAGGGGAUCGAAGACGAUCAGAUACCGUCGUAGUCUUAACCAUAAACUAUGCCGACUAGGGAUCGGACGAUGUUAAUUUUCUGACUCGUUCGCGCCUUACGGAACC
rnacentral:rRNA from 1 species